AACGAACGCUGGCGGCAGGCUUAACACAUGCAAGUCGAACGCAUCCUUCGGGGUGAGUGGCAGACGGGUGAGUAACGCGUGGGAACGUGCCCUUCAGUUCGGGAUAACCCAGGGAAACUUGGGCUAAUACCGGAUACGUGCGAGAGCAGAAAGAUUUAUCGCUGAAGGAUCGGCCCGCGUCUGAUUAGCUAGUUGGUGGGGUAAUGGCCCACCAAGGCGACGAUCAGUAGCUGGUCUGAGAGGAUGAUCAGCCACAUUGGGACUGAGACACGGCCCAAACUCCUACGGGAUGCAGCGGUGGGGAAUAUUGGACAAUGGGCGCAAGCCUGAUCCAGCCAUGCCGCGUGAGUGAUGAAGGCCUUAGGGUUGUAAAGCUCUUUCGUCCGGGACGAUAAUGACGGUACCGGAAGAAGAAGCCCCGGCUAACUUCGUGCCAGCAGCCGCCGUAAAAC
rnacentral:rRNA from 1 species